AUUAUUGGGCGUAAAGGGCGCGCAGGCGGCGUCGUAAGUCGGUCUUAAAAGUGCGGGGCUUAACCCCGUGAGGGGACCGAAACUACGAUGCUAGAGUAUCGGAGAGGAAAGCGGAAUUCCUAGUGUAGCGGUGAAAUGCGUAGAUAUUAGGAGGAACACCAGUGGCGAAAGCGGCUUUCUGGACGACAACUGACGCUGAGGCGCGAAAGCCAGGGGAGCAAACGGGAUUAGAUACCCCGGUAGUCCUGGCCGUAAACGAUGGAUACUAGGUGUAGGAGGUAUCGACCCCUUCUGUGCCGGAGUUAACGCAAUAAGUAUCCCGCCUGGGGAGUACGGCCGCAAGGCUGAAACUCAAAGGAAUUGACGGGGGCCCGCACAAGCGGUGGAGUAUGUGGUUUAAUUCGACGCAACGCGAAGAACCUUACCAAGCCUUGACAUUGAUUGCUAUGGAUAGAGAUAUCCAGUUCCUCUUCGGAGGACAAGAAAACAGGUGGUGCACGGCUGUCGUCAGCUCGUGUCGUGAGAUGUUGGGUUAAGUCCCGCAACGAGCGCAACCCUUGUUAUUAGUUGCCAGCAUUAAGUUGGGCACUCUAAUGAGACUGCCGGUGACAAACCGGAGGAAGGUGGGGAUGACGUCAAGUCAUCAUGCCCCUUAUGACCUGGGCUACACACGUGCUACAAUGGGCAGUACAACGAGAAGCAAGCCUGCGAAGGCAAGCGAAUCUCUGAAAGCUGUUCUCAGUUCGGACUGCAGUCUGCAACUCGACUGCACGAAGCUGGAAUCGCUAGUAAU
rnacentral:rRNA from 1 species